AGCGACGACAAAGAGGUGCGCGACGUUGACGGCUGUGGGGCCUCAUGGGAAAUGUAGUUUUUGUGUAAAGUAGGCGUUAAGGAAAGCGUAAAGGAGACUCUUUAGGCAGACAGGAAAGGGCAGGUUUAUCAGAAUUUAGAGUCCAAACUCAUAGCUGAAAAGUGUGAGGCGCGGAGAUGGAAAAUGACAUAAGCUUCCACACCAAAUGAGUUUAUUAACCAGCGUGGAACUUUCAGGACUUUUCAGGAACUCACGGACAUCAGGGCUGCCACGUGUAAUCUCCAUGAUCCCGGGCAAGUUACUAAACCUUCCUGAGCCUCAGACUCUUCAUUCAGAAGGUGAAGACUGCGUCGUCCAGCUCACGUCAUUCCUGACUGAGCUCCAUGGUGUCUGUGAAGCACUCAGCGCAGGACCCUGAGCCUGGCAGCACUCCUCAGACAGGGCAGGGGGUCAUCGCCCAGAGUGCAAACGGACAACUUGACGUUUAGGUUUACACUCGCCGUCAGUGUUCCGGGGAAGAAGGAAAAAGAGAGACAGGUCCUCCAAAUAAGGACUCUCCACGCUGCAGCCCUGCUCCCAGCCUCCUAGCCAGCGUGGAUCACAGAUGUGAUCCCUGAAGGAGAAACUGCAGCGCUAGCCUUCAGAUCAUCAGGAGACAAACCCCACUGACUACGCUUUCUGAACGCUGUAGGACGUGCAUGUAUCAUCAUGAAAAUUGGAAUUAAUUUAAAAAUACAAAUCAACGU